rnacentral:rRNA from 1 species
CAAGUCGAGCGAGGACUUCGGUCCUAGCGGCGGACGGGUGAGUAACGCGUGGGAACGUGCCCUUUGCUACGGAAUAGCCUCGGGAAACUGGGAGUAAUACCGUAUGUGCCCUUCGGGGGAAAGAUUUAUCGGCAAAGGAUCGGCCCGCGUUGGAUUAGGUAGUUGGUGGGGUAAUGGCCUACCAAGCCGACGAUCCAUAGCUGGUUUGAGAGGAUGAUCAGCCACACUGGGACUGAGACACGGCCCAGACUCCUACGGGAGGCAGCAGUGGGGAGUCUUAGACAAUGGGCGCAAGCCUGAUCUAGCCAUGCCGCGUGAGCGAUGAAGGCCUUAGGGUUGUAAAGCUCUUUCGUGGGGGAAGAUAAUGACGGUACCCCAAGAAGAAGCCCCGGCUAACUCCGUGCCAGCAGCCGCGGUAAUACGGUGGGGGCUAGCGUUGUUCGGAAUUACUGGGCGUAAAGCGCACGUAGGCGGACCGGAAAGUCAGAGG